ACGUGCCCGUGCGUUCUGAAUAUUCUGCAAGGUCCCUGCUCAGGCAGGUUUUCCAUGGCAUAAACCGGGAGCACGGCCAGAUGUUGGGAAGAGCAUGCCUGUCCUCUUCCUAAGUGGGUCCGGUCCACAGACUCUUCGGUCAUCGCUGCCAGGCACUGGUUGUCAUCUUCCUCGACCCCAGGGAAGGAGGCCUGCGCUUUGCCAUCCAAUGCUUCCGCGUGAGCAUGCUGCGGGUCUCUCCUUUCUAGUUGGAGCCACUGUCCCAACCGUUCUCUGUACUUUCCGAGUUGCUUUCAUUGUCGUCGGAGGAGCAGAAUCUCAGCUGGGA